rnacentral:rRNA from 1 species
UAGUGGCGAACGGGUGAGUAACACGUGGGCAAUCUGCCCUGCACUCUGGGACAAGCCCUGGAAACGGGGUCUAAUACCGGAUACGAGCCGGGGAGGCAUCUCCCCGGUUGGAAAGCUCCGGCGGUGCAGGAUGAGCCCGCGGCCUAUCAGCUUGUUGGUGAGGUAACGGCUCACCAAGGCGACGACGGGUAGCCGGCCUGAGAGGGCGACCGGCCACACUGGGACUGAGACACGGCCCAGACUCCUACGGGAGGCAGCAGUGGGGAAUAUUGCACAAUGGGCGAAAGCCUGAUGCAGCGACGCCGCGUGAGGGAUGACGGCCUUCGGGUUGUAAACCUCUUUCAGCAGGGAAGAAGCGANAGUGACGGUACCUGCAGAAGAAGCGCCGGCUAACUACGUGCCAGCAGCCGCGGUAAUACGUAGGGCGCGAGCGUUGUCCGGAAUUAUUGGGCGUAAAGAGCUCGUAGGCGGCUUGUCACGUCGGUUGUGAAAGCCCGGGGCUUAACCCCGGGUCUGCAGUCGAUACGGGCAGGCUAGAGUUCGGUAGGGGAAGAUCGGAAUUNCU